rnacentral:rRNA from 1 species
GUUAGCUAAUCUGCUGGUGGAACAGGUGCACUUUCUUCUUGACCGGACCACGACCGGCGACUUGUCUUGGCUGACAUUUGUGGAAGGUAGCGUUGGCUUACAGUGAACGUGUUAUAGCCACUUGUUCGGAUCGAGCGAGGCGUUGGAAGCAUUUUACAGGCGCUUGCCCUCAAGGCUCGUACGUUGUCUCUUUCAGAUGUGUCACUGGCUUCACUGCCUUGGCAGGGGUGUCGGGGACGCGUCGGUUAGCGGCGGCCUCUGCGAUUGGCGUCGACAGUCUGUGGUUAUGAAGUAGGCAGUCCACCUGACCCGUCUUGAAACACGGACCAAGGAGUCUAACAUGUGCGCGAGUCAUUGGGCUCUACGAAACCUAAAGGCGCAGUGAAAGUGAAGAUUCAUUCAGAUGGAUUGAGGUGGGAUCCUGGGCUACGUGCUCAGGCGCACUACCGGCCCGUUCGACAUGUCUUCAUGCGGGCGGAGCAAGAGCGUACACGUUGGGACCCGAAAGAUGGUGAACUAUGCUUGCGCAGGUCGAAGCCAGAGGAAACUCUGGUGGAGGACCGUAGCGAUUCUGACGUGCAAAUCGAUCGUCAAACGUGAGUAUAGGGGCGAAAGACUAAUCGAACCAUCUAGUAGCUGGUUCCCUCCGAAGUUUCCCUCAGGAUAGCUGGCACUCGGGAAACGAAACAGUUUUAUCCGGUAAAGCGAAUGAUUAGAGGUAUUGGGACGAAACUGCUCUCAACCUAUUCUCAAACUUUAAAUGGGUAAGAUGCCCGACUCGCUCAAUUGGAGCCGGGCUUCUUUUC